CCACACAGAGGACUGGUCCCUAUGCAUAGAACUGGUCAACUAAGAGAGGACUGGUUUCCUCACAGAGGACUGGUUUCCUCACAGAGGCCUGAUCACCUCACAGAGGACUGGUUUCCUCACAGAGGCCUGAUCACCUCACAGAGGACUGGUCACCUCACAGAGGCCUGGUCACCUCACAGAGGACUGGUCACUUCACAGAGGCCUGGUCACCUCACAAAAGCCUGGUCACCUCACAGAGGACUGGUCACCUCACAGAGGACUGGUCACCUCACAGAGGCCUGGUUGCCUUUCAGAGGCUUGGCUACCUCAUGGAGGACUGAUCACCUCACAUAGUACUGGUUACUACAUGUAGGCUUGGUCACCUCACAGAGGACUGGUCACCUCACAGAGGACUGGUCACUUCACAGAAGCUGAGUCCCCACAGAAAGUAUUGUCAUCUUAUAGAAACCUGAUUACCUCACAGGUGGCUGAUCAUCUUAAAAAAAACCUGGUCACCUCACAGGCCUAGAUAUGUAUAAAGUAGCCAGAGGCCUGGCCUUUGUAAACAGCUUAUCCCAGGAAUGUAGAUAUAGUUUAGGCCUAAGUAGCACCACCAAUCACUGCUUUAAAGGAAAAUGGCCAACUCACCCAUGCCCAUGCUGACAAAGAAUUCAGAAGACAUCCUGGUUCGGAGUCCAGAAAACAGAACCUCUUCAGAAGAUAUGGAAUCAAGGAAAUGAGGGAUAUCAGCAAUCCAGUCCAAAACAUCAAACACGAAUCAGUAGCAGACAUCCAGUCCAACAGACAAACAUCAAACAGAAUUUGUUCCAGCGGUUUGAUCCAGAAGAAACCGUAAGGCUCCGCUGAAUCAACAAGAGUCUGCAGAAGCAGCCAGAAGCAGCUGGAAUACCAAGAGAAAGAAGGUCUUUGGUCCUUUUCUGUCUGUGAAGUCACCACAAGUGAAGACCAGCAAAGACCAGCAAAGCGUUGCCAGAGAGCCAAUACAAGAACAUCGUCGUCACUGUCUGUUGAGUUAUACUUAUACUGAUUCCAAACAUCAUACUCCCUCUCAAGUAUCUACCUCAUAAGACAGCUUCCAGAAGAACAUAGCAUGACACAACUGAGUCUCCAAAGAAACCAGACAUCCCCACUUCACUGGAGACCUGAGAAUCUGUGACGUUUUCAUGGAGGUCCAGAUGAGGCUUCUGGAGGCUUCUCCAGCUGCUACUGAGCCCAUGUGAGACUAGACCACAACUGCUGGACUGGAUCAAAAUCAACAUGACGGGGUGCCGGUCAGACUCUCUGCAGGCAGAACCAGGCGAAAGGGAGAGAACCCAGGACAGCCGAGCCUCUUGGGCCUGAGCGGGAUGGAAGCAGAGGCAGCAUCCAGGAGUGUGGGGACAGGUAACUGGUUACUGUUCAUCAUAGACAGUAUGAAUGCAUUCCCUCUCAUAAAAGAAAUGUAAGUAUAAAAGCACAGUGUUUUGGAAGAGGCAACUGUGUCAGGGUGCAUGCCAGUCCUGCAGCGUCUGUGGACAAACAGCAAUUCGAGAACAAUGGACUCACUUAAACCCUCAUUAAAAAGACUAGAUGCUUGUGUGGA